UGGAUAAACUCUACGUCUUGAAGGAUUUGUAAGAAAUGUUCGAGGGAAUUGACUUAGUGUUAAACACGAGCCAGUGUCCUCAAACAUUUCUUACAAAUCCUUCAAAACUUAGAAUUUACCUA